rnacentral:sRNA from 1 species
UUGACAGUCCUGGAGAUUAGAGCCCUUUAUCCGUACAGCACAGACAAUGACAGCACAAGUUUCCUUCUCCCCAUCCCGCAAGUGUGCCUCAUUUCCAAGGUAUUAUCUCUAGGAUUGAGAGGGGAGUUCAGUCUCCACAGCCCAUUCAAUUGUUGGCUUGU